GACAACGAGAAGCGUUUGUGGUGUGAAAGAGUUGAGGUCCUGAUGCUUGUCGGUGCUUCUGAAUGAAGUUCUUUUUGGCUUUGUUUCAAAGGAGACACAUUUUUAUGCUUAUUGCUAUCCAAGAAGCUCUUGUCAGCCAAGAAGCUGUUCUGCAUCUCACAAAGUACAAACCCUGAAGGAAGGAUGGGCUAAGAAAGAGCCCACACUUGUGUCCUUUGGAGCAUUUCACCUCAGAAAAUGGCCUUGGUAAAAGAUCACUGUGACCCAAAAUACAUACAAGUAACCUCAGUG